GAACGUGAGGGUGCAGCGAUGUGCCUGAAAGUGGCAGACGGGUGAGUAACACGUAGGUGACCUGCCCUGAAGAGGGGGAUAACCACUGGAAACGGUGGCUAAAACCGUAUAAGCCUGUUGAGAUGGGAAGAUUGACAGGGAAAGUUGAGGCGCUUCAGGAGGGGCCUGCGGCCGAUUAGCUAGUUGGAGUGGUAAAGGCACCCCAAGGCGAUGAUCGGUAGCUGGUCUGAGAGGAUGAUCAGCCACACGGGAACUGAGAAACGGUCCCGACUCCUACGGGGGGCAGCAGUGAGGAAUAUUGGGCAAUGGGGGGAACCCUGACCCAGCAACGCCGCGUGGAGGAUGAAGGUCUUUGGAUUGUAAACUCCUUUUCUGGGGGACGAGAGAGGACGGUACCCCAGGAAUAAGUCACGGCUAACUACGUGCCAGCAGCCGCGGUAAUACGUAGGUGGCAAGCGUUAUCCGGAAUUAUUGGGCGUAAAGCGCAAGCAGGCGGCAUUUUAAGUCUGACGUGAAAUUUCCUGGCUUAACUGGGAGGGGUCGUUGGAGACUGGAAAGCUAGAGGCGAUGAGAGGGGCAUGGAAUUCCCGGUGUAGUGGUGGAAUGCGUAGAUAUCGGGAGGAACACCAGAGGCGAAAGCGAUGUCCUGGCAUGAGCCUGACGCUGAGAUGCGAAAGCGUGGGGAGCGAACGGGAUUAGAUACCCCGGUAGUCCACGCGGUAAACGAUGAAUACUGGGUGUAGGCGGGGUUAGAGCCGUCUGUGCCGAAGCAAACGCGUUAAGUAUUCCGCCUGGGGAGUACGGUCGCAAGGCUAAAACUCAAAGGAAUUGACGGGGGCCCGCACAAGCAGCGGAGCGUGUGGUUUAAUUCGAUGCGACACGAAGAACCUUACCUGGGUUUGACAUAAUGGUAGUAGUGAAGUGAAAGCGGAACGACCCUUCGGGGAGCCAUUACAGGUGUUGCAUGGCUGUCGUCAGCUCGUGUCGUGAGAUGUUGGGUUAAGUCCCGCAACGAGCGCAACCCUUGUCGCUAGUUACAAGUGUCUAGCGAGACUGCCGGUAUCAAGCUGGAGGAAGGUGGGGAUGACGUCAAGUCAGCAUGACCUUUAUAUCCAGGGCUACACACACGCUACAAUGGGCGGUACAGUGGGAAGCGAAGCCGUGAGGCGGAGCGGAUCCAAAAAGCCGUUCGUAGUUCGAAUUGCAGGCUGCAACUCGCCUGCAUGA
rnacentral:rRNA from 1 species